AGUGCCAAGAAGCAGGGCCACAUCUCUGCCUGAAGAUGCUUGGUCAUAACCUACAACAAUCAAGUGACAGAAAACUAAGUGGGCUGACUGAUGCGGUGCAGGAUCGUUUCUAGCAUCUAUGCUGCAGUAUGUGAUUCAUCAGAUACGCUCUUCUGCAUUUUUCCAAUAUCUAUCUCCUUCAACGUUUCUAGGCGGUAUCAUCAGGCUCCUUAGUGCAUUGCCUCAGGCCUCUCCCAAGUGUGGGAUUAAGACACCUGAUCUAUGGUGUCCACGUGGGAGCAAGCACCUGAGAGUCUAAGCUCUCCUUCCUGACAAAGGAGAUACAGACAACCCAGCCUAAGGACCAGAGCAUCUGCAAGGCAAUGGCAAAGGACAGUCAUCAGUUGCCUACAGAUAGCUCUGAGGGCCCUCUGAGAUGCCCGAAGGUUCCCCAGAUGGCCAGUGUCAAAGGAGGCCAGGAGGGAUUCUGCACUCCCUGGAACACGAGCUAGGGGCCAGGCUGGAGGCUCCACAGCACCUAGACAAGAGGAGGUGCCUAUGUUUAGGCACCUGAAUCCCAGGGAGGUGUCCAGGUGAGCUCUUCCUAAGGAACUCCUUAGCAUCUACUAACUAAAAAUAGAGUUUAGAUAUUUACAUGUGAAUGCCCA
rnacentral:lncRNA from 1 species